UUGCUUUGAGACCCAGCUCCAACAUCCCCACAAGCUGUAUAAUUUUGGGGAAGUUCCUUAAUUUAUCUGUACUUUGGUUUCCUUAUCUCUGAAAUAAGGGGAGUGGAACGACAUACUCCUAGGGUUAUUGUGAGGAACAAGUGAGUUAAUGCCAUUAAAGGUGCCUGUCACCCAGCUCCACAGGACAAUUAUUACCUAGUGUCUUGGCAUCAGCCGCAGCUCUGAAUAUGGGAGGCUUUGUGUUCCAUCAAAGCUGGCCAGCAGACCCCUGCAUCCAGUCAACUCUACCCACCAAGGGCAAGAUCAAGGAGCCAUGCACCAGCAGACCUCAGAUGCUCUACCCCACCUUGUGUGGCCAACACAGCACCCAGAGGGGGAAGGGUAAGAAAGGGAAGUCCUCUGGAGUCGCUGUGAUGUGCCAGAACCUGGGCAAGGUACACUCAUAUUCCUUACCUCAUGGAGUCUUCCUAAGAGACCUAGGAAGCCAAGUGCAAACACAGGCCCUCUCUGAAUCCCAAAGGAAAACAAUCCACCUAUCAAACUCCACUGGGAAAACGGACAAAUGAGUAUGAAUCACUCAGAGGAUACUACUUGUCAGAGGAUGCUAAGUUUUAGUACCUAUGAUAAAGUCAUGGUGGUUAUAUGGUUUAAAAACUACCCAUUUUUCCAGAGAUCAAUAUCAAAAUAUUUACAUGUGAGAUUACAUGAUGACUGGAAUGGAUAAUAAGAAAUUUCAUUGCUUUUCUAUAUCACAAAAGUAUGUGGCACAUAGAUGACAGGAUUUGUACUAUUUUGAUAUUUGUUGAUGGAGCAUGAUGGGAAUAUGGGGCAUUAUUAUUCUUCCUCUAUUGUAUGUCUGAAUACCC
rnacentral:lncRNA from 1 species